CCUACGGGUGGCAGCAGUGAGGAAUAUUGGUCAAUGGGCGGGAGCCUGAACCAGCCAAGUCGCGUGAGGGAAGAAGGUACUGAGUAUUGUAAACCUCUUUUGCCAGGGGACAAAGGCGGCCACGGGUGGCCGUAAGAGGGUACCUGGAGAAAAAGCAUCGGCUAACUCCGUGCCAGCAGCCGCGGUAAUACGGAGGAUGCGAGCGUUAUCCGGAUUUAUUGGGUUUAAAGGGUGCGCAGGCGGCGUGUCAAGUCAGCGGUAAAAUGUCGGGGCUCAACCCCGGCCGGCCGUUGAAACUGGCGUGCUCGAGUUGGAGAGAAGUAUGCGGAAUUCGUGGUGUAGCGGUGAAAUGCGUAGAUAUUUGGAAGAACACAGAUGGCGAAGGCAGCCCCCUGGGACGCAACUGACGCUCAUACACGAAAGCGUGGGGAGCAAACAGGAUUAGAUACCCCAGUAGUC
rnacentral:rRNA from 1 species